rnacentral:rRNA from 1 species
AGACAGCAGCCGCCGCGGGAAUACGUAGGGUGCAAGCGUUAAUCGGAAUUACUGGGCGUAAAGCGUGCGCAGGCGGUUAUAUAAGACAGAUGUGAAAUCCCCGGGCUCAACCUGGGAACUGCAUUUGUGACUGUAUAGCUAGAGUACGGCAGAGGGGGAUGGAAUUCCGCGUGUAGCAGUGAAAUGCGUAGAUAUGCGGAGGAACACCGAUGGCGAAGGCAAUCCCCUGGGCCUGUACUGACGCUCAUGCACGAAAGCGUGGGGAGCAAACAGGAUUAGAUACCCGCGUAGUCCCUGUCUCUUAUAC